rnacentral:lncRNA from 1 species
AGGUAUCUGCUGUCGUCCAAGAAAACCUGAUAGCCAUGCGCAAACACAGACGGAGAGAGAGAGAGGAGAACAGGAGUACAUCCAGACCUUUCCCUUCCCAGAGAGACAAAAAUGAAGUAGAAGAGUCCAGAAGAGGCAAAAUCGAACUACAAAAGUUUUAAACCCGAGAUUCAGAUCGCAUUUUUCAACCCCUAAAACCAAAUAGUACAUUUAACCGACUUAACACGAUGGAAGGCAUAAAUCAAAUCUAGGAUAUCAUACUCAACCUGCAUUGCAGAAACGAACACUGUAGCUUAUAUACAUUCUCAAUGUCCUCCGCAAGUCCUCUCUCCAAUGGCUCUGCAAUCUACAAAAGGUUUUUAGAAGAUUAUAAUUUUAAAACUGAAUCACAUAAAAUUUCUGAAAUUAGGUUGCUUCUUACCAGAGUUAUUUUAUUCUUCUUAUUGGAUGUUUCAGCAAAGCAUUUGAUUGACUUCUACAAACAAAAUGAAACAACAGGAUCAACCUACAAACAAAAGCAUAUCCAUCAAGAAAAGAACAUAAAAUUUUACAUUCUUAAGGGGUGGAAAAAUUACUUUAAAAAGAAAAAACGUCAAGAGAGGAUGAGGAUUGGGAGCAAACAAUUACCUUGACUUCUACUUCCAAAUAAAGCUCUCUUAGGUCCUUCAUUAUUCUGACAUACCCUAUAACACAUUAAUUUAUGUUAAAAAAACAUAAAAAUUAAGCACCAAAUCUUUCACUUCAAAUUCCAUAAAAAUCAAACCUCUGAAACAUAAAGUUAUUGGGCUUUCUCUUGUGAGGAGGAGUUCAAAACUCUCCCAUUGCAAUCCUCAUAGAGAAUCGCCACGUCAGCCUUGGAAAAAACUCGAAUCAAAGCAAAAAC